AUGAGAGUAGUAAGCUGGAACUGCCGGGGACUCGGGAACGGCCCGACAGUUCGAGGCCUCUUGGAUCUCAAGAGGGCGGAGGAUCCCGAUGUGGUGUUCUUGUGUGAAACAAAACUGUUUGAGAAGGAGAUGGAGAAGUAUCAGUGGAAGCUGGGACUGGUGAACAUGUGUGUGAGAAAUCCGGAUGGUAGGAGCAGAGGACUAGCUAUUAUGUGGAAGCGGGGAAUCAACCUCUCGCUGUGGUCCAUGGGAAGG
rnacentral:rRNA from 1 species